UCCAAGAUGGACAGCUAGAAGUCCGCUAACAACAACAGGAGCCUUUUACGUCUUGAAAACGGGAUAAAAAUGAUCAUCAGAGUCAUUCAAUGUUGGAUUUAUCAUCAUGGACAUGUUGUACAGAGUCUCCGAGAAGACACUGACGUUCCAGGCCGCACUACAAAUCUUCUGAAAGGGCCACGACCGCAGUGUUAGCUCCCAUCAAAACAAACCAUGGUGCGGUCAGCUUGAAAACAUUGGUGAAGGACGCAACAGCCACAAUGUCACGGAACAUCCCCGCCUCCAUCUAUAUUGACUUACCAAACCCUACAGAGCAGCCCCUCAUCAGGCAGGUCCAAGGGUCAAAUGGCCGCACAGUCCGCCUCAUGUCAGAUUUUACAACACACGAGAGGCCUUGAGACACAUUCGCACAUUUCCUCAACACACUGACGGAGAGUGGCCCCUCGUGGGAGAUUGCAUCUCCCACGAUCCCCACUGGCCUUGCCAAUGCUCUUUGCUUUACUGUGUCAAUUAAAGUCAGCAAAAAAUUAUAUCAACCUUAACUUAUGUGCUGCCCAUCCCACUGCAGUGACAUAGCUGGUCUGGCUAAUCUGCAAUGCAGUAUUUUAAAUUUUUUUUUAAAUGCGCCAGCCUUUAACAUAGUGUAUGCUGUGGCGGUGAAACUUUGACUGAUAUUCAGAAUGACUGCCUUCGCUGUAUUGAUGUGAGCUGCUGACACAAGGUGUAAGGUCAACGGGUCAAGGUUACCUUGACAUCUCCUCUGAAAUUCUGUUGGCUGAAAAACAAGACGUUAAAUCUCACAGAGUCACACAACAAAACGUGACACGCACCCACACACUCUUAAGGCAUCAACACGCCUGAACCAAAGUGCGUGUCAGGGGCUGGAACAGUGUCUAAAAACCAGGGGGACCUUCACGUGUGUUUAUAUGUUGUGUGUGUUGUGAUAAAUCUGGCAAUAGAAAACAAGAUAACAAUGCAAAGUAGUUUGUGACUGAUGCGCAUCUCAUGCAUCAUUUGUGUGACAAGAAGUAGAAACAAACCCAUUUCUGUCAUGGUUUUUUCGCACACAACACACGUUCCUUUUUUCAGGCUUUUCACUUCUUUUUGGUGGCCAAAGAGGUCAUUUUGAUACGAUGCUCACUUGUGUCAGAAAUGUAAAAUUACAUAAAAGCAAUCGCAACAGUAUUUUAUUUAAGAUCUAAUUGCAUUGAAAUCGCUGAAUGGGACAAAUAAAUUAAGAUUUAAGAGAGCUUUGUGCCGCAUGUUUAAUUUAUGAGCUACUUCAUGCCAGAAAUCAGUUUUUUUCAACAGGACUGUGUAUGAUGCUGCUGAUGUAAUGGCAUCUGGAAGAUGAAUAUAUAAAAAUAAGUUCCUAAAGAUAGAGAUACUGUAUGUAAGAGAAACACGUGUGAAGCGAUGACCAAAUGAAAAAGAAGAAAUGAAUCUACAGAUAUAGUGCCUGAGCUGCACACAUACAGUCAUUUUUCAAAACAAUCCCAUGGUAAGUAGCACCUCAGUGGAGACGCUCUGGGCACACAUUUUGAAUAUGAAUAUUGUUUUCAUUUCCCCAACAUUACAUUAACUGAGGAUGAUUGCAGUCUCACGGCCUCAGCAUCCAUCAGCUGCUGUAUUACACAGACUGAGGAUUUAACUCAGAAAUGUAGU